rnacentral:rRNA from 1 species
UACGAAGGGGGCUAGCGUUGCUCGGAAUCACUGGGCGUAAAGGGUGCGUAGGCGGGUCUUUUAAGUCAGGGGUGAAAUCCUGGAGCUCAACUCCAGAACUGCCUUUGAUACUGAAGAUCUUGAGUUCGGGAGAGGUGAGUGGAACUGCGAGUGUAGAGGUGAAAUUCGUAGAUAUUCGCAAGAACACCAGUGGCGAAGGCGACUUACUGGACACAUAUUGACGCUGAGGUGCGAAAGCGUGGGGAGCAAACA